UUUUGCACGGUUGUAUUUACAUCAUCUUCAAAUGGCUUCUUGAAAAUAUAUGAAAAAUAAAAGGACUAUAUUCUCCUCCAAAUUUCUGGGAUCCCUACCAGGAUUCAGUUGGGGUUCUCCUCUUCGUACCAUUUUCUUCAGGAUGGACAGUUUGCGGAGCUCAGUUAUCUUGCAUCCUCUUUCUCCCACUCCAGUCUUCUACCGUGAACGAGAAGAAAACUAUGAAUUAGUGCCAAAUUGGAAAUAUAGUUGACUGACUUUUUGGAGCAUCUGUUCCAUCUUUUAAGACUUUGGGAAAGAGUGUAUGCUAAAAUCAACACUUGAGAACA